rnacentral:hammerhead_ribozyme from 1 species
AUCCAGCUGAUGAGUCCCAAACAGGACGAAAAGCGCAUGCUGCAU